rnacentral:lncRNA from 1 species
UAUAUAUAACAUUAAUAGUAACCAACCAAAUAAUAUAUUAAAAGCUCACUAUUCUACUAAUUCAUUAUGAAAAAAUUUCUGUAUAACCACAACGCAAUAAAAUAAAAAAAAAUAAAGUCAUCAUUUCUGAACCUAACUAAAAUCCAAAUAUUUCAUCCUGUCAUCCUCCUUAUUCUUCUAGUUAUUCUUUCAAACAACACUCAAGCACUACACAAAUAGACCAGUUUGAAAAUUUUAUUUCUUUCAUCACAUAAAUGUUUCUGCCAAUAUAUAAAAUAGUAGGGAC